rnacentral:rRNA from 1 species
UACGUAGGGUGCAAGCGUUAAUCGGAAUUACUGGGCGUAAAGCGUGCGCAGGCGGUUUUGUAAGUCUGAUGUGAAAUCCCCGGGCUCAACCUGGGAAUUGCAUUGGAGACUGCAAGGCUAGAAUCUGGCAGAGGGGGGUAGAAUUCCACGUGUGGCAGUGAAAUGCGUAGAGAUGUGGAGGAACACCGAUGGCGAAGGCAGCCCCCUGGGUCAAGAUUGACGCUCAUGCACGAAAGCGUGGGGAGCAAACAGG